CGUUAAAUACAGGAAUGGCUCCCAAUUUUGAUUGGAUGAAAAAAUUUUGUUUCACGAAGUCCGAAAAACACUUUUUCUCGUUUGCCGGAUAUCGUGACUUGUAUAUGUUAUAUAUGAAACAUGUAUAUGAAAUAUUAUGAAUAUAUUCUUUAGAUCGGAGCAAAUAUUUUGACCAAUCAAAUUAGGGAGCCAUUCCUAAGUAAAAUUCAAAAGUAAAUGAUAGUUAAAUCUAUAUAAUUCACUACAAACAGUUAUACACGAAGUCUAAGAUGCGGAUGAUGAAGAUUUGCUGCACGUCACAUCAAUCAGAGUAAUGCUUGUGAUUACCUUAUUAGAGUCAUGACUUAGUAAAUCUUGAUGAAAAAAACUGUUUGGUGAAAUGACUUUUAGCAAAAAAAAAUCUUAUUAAACUGUCUAAAUGAUUACUUCUAUAAAAAAGGUGUAGUGCAUACAA